rnacentral:lncRNA from 1 species
AUGAUGGUCAUUGCACAAGCCAUCUCCUCCCGUGCCCUCCCUCCCUCUCCCCACCCUUCACCUUGUUCAAAUUGUUGCAGAAUGAAUGUUCUGGGCCUGAUGCUUUUUUUUUCCCCUUUAGAAGGGCAGAUAGGCGGCAGCAGCAACACUUGGUUGAUGAUAAACUAUAAACUCCUGUCGAACUCCAUUAAUCCGUUCAAUCCCCAAAGCCAGCAAUCUGAAAGCAUGUCAGAAGAGGGCUUCCUGUUGGGUACAUUUCAAAACAAUCAUCUCCCAUUGUUCAGCAUGCUUUCUGGUGCAGCUCUGCAAAUGCGCCAGAGUCAUCAAGGGGAAAAAAAGGUUUUGUUUAACUCUGUCAAGUGAUCUGGGAGGCAAGCUGUCAGGGAGGUAAGCCUGAAUUUCCCCUGUGCCAUUUUGGGGUUGGGUCACGGGGCAGGGAAGAGACAUUUCCUUUGUGCAAAUGGUUUGCCCCAAGCCCAAGACAAUGUCCUAUUGGUCAAGUGCCAAUCAAAGAUUCUUAGCGCAGAUCAAGAGCCUGUAUCCAGCUUUGCUUGAGGAUGAGUGAUGGAUCGUGGGAAAGGCACAGAUAACUCAAGAAAAGGGGAACUGGAUUCACGAAAACACAUUUUAAAACUAGCACUAAUUGACAGAAAUGAAGCCAGCGGUGGACUGGCCAUGGAACCUGCAUUCCCCCCUUGGGAGGGGUCUCUUCCUUGGUGCGGGACAUCCCAAGGGAAAUUUGUGUUGCUGUAUAAGAAGAAAACUCAGCCUCCAGAGGGCUGUUAAUAGUAUAUCACCUACUUUACUAGCUCUCAGUUCACUGAAAAGCUACACAGGCAGAUUCCAGCUGUGAGAGAUCAUAGACAUCAGGGCUUACAGAUGGACAGGAAGCUCCUUAUUGUCCAUUUUCAAUGCUGAACUUUGUCAACUGCUUCUGAGAUCUGAAAAACAGAGUAGCUACCAGCCGGGCCUUGGCUCUUGUGCUGAAAGUUCUUCCUUACACACUUUGAGAUCUGUGAGACAAAAUGAAACCUGAAGAUAAUGUUACUGCAUAAUAAAGACAAAAUACUCAAGAUCUUAGGAAAAACU